rnacentral:misc_RNA from 1 species
AACGGUCUAUACCUGCGGUACCUGCGGAAGGAUCAUUACAGAGUGUUCUACCCCCUUGUAAAAUGGUGGGUUUAACCUCCCGUCCUUUGCCAGACCCCCCCUUUCGUUGGGGGGCCUUUCAAACCUUUCUGCUUCGGCGGGGUUACCCGUCGGAACACCCUCAAAAAUUCUUGGUCAAAACUGUUCGGUCCGAGAAACUUAUGAAAAUUGAAGCAAAACUUUCAACAAUGGAUCUCUAGA